rnacentral:rRNA from 1 species
AGAGACAGCAGCCGCCGCGGGAAUACAGAGGGUGCGAGCGUUAAUCGGAUUUACUGGGCGUAAAGCGUGCGUAGGCGGCUUCUUAAGUCGGAUGUGAAAUCCCUGAGCUUAACUUAGGAAUUGCAUUCGAUACUGGGAAGCUAGAGUAUGGGAGAGGAUGGUAGAAUUCCAGGUGUAGCGGUGAAAUGCGUAGAGAUCUGGAGGAAUACCGAUGGCGAAGGCAGCCAUCUGGCCUAAUACUGACGCUGAGGUACGAAAGCAUGGGGAGCAAACAGGAUUAGAUACCCCUGUAGUCCCUGUCUCUUAUAA